rnacentral:rRNA from 1 species
GAUGAACGCUGGCGGCGUGCCUAAUACAUGCAAGUCGAGCGAACAGACGAGGAGCUUGCUCCUCUGACGUUAGCGGCGGACGGGUGAGUAACACGUGGAUAACCUACCUAUAAGACUGGGAUAACUUCGGGAAACCGGAGCUAAUACCGGAUAAUAUAUUGAACCGCAUGGUUCAAUAGUGAAAGACGGUUUUGCUGUCACUUAUAGAUGGAUCCGCGCCGCAUUAGCUAGUUGGUAAGGUAACGGCUUACCAAGGCAACGAUGCGUAGCCGACCUGAGAGGGUGAUCAGCCACACUGGAACUGAGACACGGUCCAGACUCCUACGGGAGGCAGCAGUAGGGAAUCUUCCGCAAUGGGCGAAAGCCUGACGGAGCAACGCCGCGUGAGUGAUGAAGGUCUUCGGAUCGUAAAACUCUGUUAUUAGGGAAGAACAAAUGUGUAAGUAACUAUGCACGCCUUGACGGUACCUAAUCAGAAAGCCACGGCUAACUACGUG